rnacentral:rRNA from 1 species
AUUGAACGCUGGCGGCAGGCCUAACACAUGCAAGUCGAGCGAGCGGCGGACGGGUGAGUAAUGUCUGGGAAACUGCCUGAUGGAGGGGGAUAACUACUGGAAACGGUAGCUAAUACCGCAUACCAUCAGAUGUGCCCAGAUGGGAUUAGCUAGUAGGUGGGGUAACGGCUCACCUAGGCGACGAUCCCUAGCUGGUCUGAGAGGAUGACCAGGCACACUGGAACUGGGGCAAGGUCCCGACUCCUUCGGGAGGCAGCAGUUGGGAAUAUUUCACAAUGGGGCCAAGCCUGAUGCAGCCAUGCCGCGGGUGUGAAGAAGGCCUUCGGGUUGUAAAGCACUUUAAGCGAGGAGGCGUUACUCGCAGAAUAAGCACCGGCUAACUCUGUGCCAGCAGCCGCGGUAAUUC